rnacentral:rRNA from 1 species
AGAUUGAACGCUGGCGGCAGGCCUAACACAUGCAAGUCGAACGGCAGCACGGGAGCAAUCCUGGUGGCGAGUGGCGAACGGGUGAGUAAUACAUCGGAACGUGCCCAAUCGUGGGGGAUAACGCAGCGAAAGCUGUGCUAAUACCGCAUAAGAUCUACGGAUGAAAGCAGGGGAUCGCAAGACCUUGCGCGAAUGGAGCGGCCGAUGGCAGAUUAGGUAGUUGGUGAGGUAAAGGCUCACCAAGCCUUCGAUCUGUAGCUGGUCUGAGAGGACGACCAGCCACACUGGGACUGAGACACGGCCCAGACUCCUACGGGAGGCAGCAGUGGGGAAUUUUUGGACAAUGGGCGCAAGCCUGAUCCAGCCAUACCGCGUGGUGAAGAAGCUCGGUGUAAGCCUUUGUUGGAAGAAAGCAAUACGUUAAUACCGUUGUCUGACGUACCAAAGAAUAAGCACCGACUAACUUCGUGCCAGCGACGCGUAACG